AGGCAUGUUUAAAGAACAGUGAUUGGAAACCAUAUUGACAGGUGGGAUUGAACAGACUACAUCUGCUGCUUAUGUAUUUCCUGAGGGACAAAUAAAAAGAAGAGCCUACCUUGUGCCAACAGUUGGUCGCUUAUGUCUCCUUAAACUAAAUAUUUCUUUACAUCUGUCCACUUAACCUAAUGGUCAUAGCAGCAUGAUAACCUUGGUCAGACAAAAAUUGUACUCGCGCACACUGCAUGUGACUUAACAACACUGAUGGCUGGUGAUUCCUUUUCUACUGCCUCUUACUAAUAGUGAAGACUGAAAGAAUGCUUUUUGCAAGGGGCCCCCAAAAAAUACUGGAUGCCUGUCAUGAAAAAUACCCAAAAGGAGGCCAUAUUCUGAAAAAAAUGAUGAAAUCAAGUCACAGAUUAACAUAGACAUUUCUUAGAGAUUUAUAGGAAAAUACAAGUAAAUACAGACGCUUUUAAUCAAAGCACUUUAUGUGGUGCUGCAACUACACAGACUUUUAUUAAACUUGUAGUUUAAGAAGUAUUGCUCAAAUACCUACAGAAGAGAGUAAAGAAUCUCUGCUCCUGUUGUGAAACAAGUGCAACUGUAUUCUCUACAUUCUUGUUCAAUUUCAUCACUAGCUACAACUUUUAUUUAUUUCGGAAUCCAAUGUUUUAACAUUCCAUGUUGUAUAAUUUAAAGCAGUCUUGGGAUAUUUCUUCUAAUGGCUGUAAAGCAGCAGUACAACCAGAGAACACGAGGAAACACUGAAUCAUGCUAAAGCUGUUUCUUGGAGUAUUUUAAGGGUCCAUAUACUGCAUAAAAGUAAACAUUCCAAGACUGGAACAGUAUUAAAAAAAACAUUUGACAUGUGGUUGGAUUUUGCAUUUCACUGUUAGACUGGUUUGUGUUCUCUACAACCUUAUGAGAUUUAAGAAGUAAACUGUCAGACAUUGUUAUGACUUCAUAUAAACAAUAACUUUGCAAGAAAUAACGUAAAGUGUCGUCCCUGCAGCA